rnacentral:rRNA from 1 species
UACGGAGGGUGCAAGCGUUAUCCGGAUUUACUGGGCGUAAAGCGUGCGCAGGCGGUUUUGUAAGCCAGAUGUGAAAUCCCCGGGCUUAACCUGGGAAUGGCAUUUGGGACUGCAAGGCUCGAGUGCGGCAGAGGAGACUGGAAUUCCUGGUGUAGCAGUGAAAUGCGUAGAUAUCAGGAGGAACACCGAUGGCGAAGGCAGGUCUCUGGGCUGACACUGACGCUCAUGCACGAAAGCGUGGGGAGCAAACAGG